rnacentral:ncRNA from 1 species
CGCCGGGCACGGGCGUAAAACGGUGCGGCGCACGGGGAUGCAACCCCCGAUACCAAAGCGUA